AGAGGUGUGGGAUGAGCCCGCGGCCUAUCAGCUUGUUGGUGGGGUGACGGCCUACCAAGGCGACGACGGGUAGCCGGCCUGAGAGGGUGUCCGGCCACACUGGGACUGAGAUACGGCCCAGACUCCUACGGGAGGCAGCAGUGGGGAAUAUUGCACAAUGGGCGCAAGCCUGAUGCAGCGACCCCGCGUGGGGGAUGACGGCCUUCGGGUUGUAAACCUCUUUCACCUUCAACGAAGGUCCGGGUUCUCUCGCACUGACGGAAGGUGGAAAAUAGACA
rnacentral:rRNA from 1 species